AGUGCCCAGUGUUUGAAAAAGA
rnacentral:miRNA from 12 species